rnacentral:SRP_RNA from 1 species
GCCGGGCAAGGUGGCGGGCGCCUGUAGUCCCAGCUACUCAGGAGGCUGAGGCAGGAGAAUGGCGUGAACCCGGGAGGCGGAGCUUGCAGUAAGCUGAGAUCCGGCCACUGCACUCUAGCCUGGGCAACNNNNNNNNNNGUUAGGUUACUAAUAUCAGUUAUUUUUUUUUUUUUUUUUUUGUUAGACGGAGUCUCGCUCUGUCACCCAGGCUGGAGUGCAGUGGCCGGAUCUCGGCUCACUGCAAGCUCGGCCUCCCGGGUUCACGCCAUUCUCCUGCCUCAG